rnacentral:lncRNA from 1 species
GUUGUUUCUCAGUAUAAAUGAGAUCAGUUGUUGAUGACUGCAUAUAACUGACAUGAUGUCCUGUGUCUUCAUACAGGCUCCCUACACACCUUUUCUCACUGAAUUGAUGUACCAGAAUCUAAAGGUGCUGAUUGACCCUGUUUCUGUUCAGGACAAGGACACACUCAGCAUUCACUACCUCAUGCUGCCCCGUGUUCGAGAAGAAUUGAUUGACAAGAAAACAGAGAGUGCAGUAUCUCAGAUGCAGUCUGUGAUUGAACUUGGAAGAGUGAUCAGAGACCGAAAAACUAUUCCCAUA